AUAGCUAUUUUAUCUAUUAAAAUUAAUUCCUCGGCCACAGCGACUGCUUUCACGCUAUCAAAAUCAAAAGACUAUAGCAUUGUUCAUGUGAAAAAAGCCAUCUAGCUGGCUUACGGUAGGUCAGCGGUCCUACCUCGGUGCCCAGCCUUGGUCUUCACCAUCAACAGUUGUAAGGGUCGCCGAAUGAACUGAAUUAUGUCCGAGUGACUCUCAACAAAACAGCAACAACAAAAAAAUCUGAAUGUAAGAAGUAUCUCAUAAAAAAUGCCUAUUAUUCUUGUUGUAAAAGUUCUAUAAUGGAAAUUUUUACACAGACGCACCAAACAAGGAUGCAUUAACAGAUGCGUUUGCCCUCUUAGCAACUUAUUAGUAUUAGUACAGCCUGGGGACCAGUACAGACAAUGACAAUUGAGGUUUAUCCGACGGUUGUCAGGACAAUCAGUUUUGGCAGUUUAAGUGUGAUGGCGAGAAUCGGUGCAAUGAUCGGGCCUCAGUUAGUCUAUAUGAAUAUGUACGUAGCUGGGAUACUGUAUUAUGUUUGUGGUGCUGUGGCUGUACUGUGUAUAACUGGAUGCCUAGGACUGCCAGAAACCAUGAAUUCAAUUUAAAUGAUAAAAUAACAGAGGAAAACGAAAACCUUUCUUCUGAGGUUAACCAUAAAAAUGUUGCUGUGUAAUACGAACACGCAUUAGCCUUUAUUUGCUUUAAAGUACUUUCAUUUAGGCAGGGAUAAUUUGCAUUGUAUUUUUGUAACAGUUUUAUGAAGUUUCAUAUUUUCUUUCUCUGUACUGUAGCACAGAUUUUGAGAAAAAUGUAAUUAUAAUUGUUUGCACAACUUAUCAAUUACAUGUAUUGUGAUGAUUUUCGAAGUAGAUCAUAUAUAUCAUUCAAUGUUAAUUGAAACUAUAAUUAUAUACAAUAAUGAGAAUAUAUUCUCUAAUUAUGUAACGUUGUUUUUGAAAUAUAAGUAGUUUUAAGGGUAAUCUUCAAGGUACAAUAUGUAAAUACGUUUAAUUUUAAUUGGAUAGAGUUGAGUAAGAUACAAAUGUAGUGAUUACUUCAUAAAUACAGGAUAUUACAUGAGCGUAUUUUCAUUUUGAAUUGAAUAUAAUUAUGAAGAAUUAUAAAAUGCGAAGCCCAGAGUAGAAAGGCACGAACGAAAUCAUU
rnacentral:lncRNA from 1 species